rnacentral:lncRNA from 1 species
CUCUGACUAUAGAACUGUAAAAAAAAAAAAAAAAAAAAAAAAUCAUUGGUUAAACCAUUAAGUUUGUGGUAAUUUGUUAUGUCAAUAGUAUAAAACUAAUACAGAUGUAAUUCCAAACUGUGAAUUUACCACUUAAAACAAUAGCAUGAAGGUCAGUAUGGCUGAGGCACAGAGUAUUUAAGCUAGAAUGGUAGGCAAAAUGAUGAAGCUACCAAGAAGAUUGGGCCAGAUUAUGCAAAUCUUGUCAUCUAAUAGGAUUCUCAGCUCUAUGCAAUGGGGCCAAUUAUAGCUACAUUAACUAAAAAGAAGCAUUUUGGAAAAUGAGUAGAAACCAAAGCCGUUCUAGAAGGCCAAAACCAGUAAUUACCCAGAACAAUGCUUCCACCACUACUUUGCAAACUGCUGAGUCCACAAAUGGACAGAUUUUAACUAGCACUUUGAUUUUGCCUCAGCUGCUACAAAUUGAAUCCCAGACAUAAAUGUUCUGAAAAGCAAGUCCAUAUCAAGUGCACAUAUUCUUUCUAUAAGAGAGUUGAUGGAGUUGCUCUGAUUUCUACAAUGAAAGACAGGGAAUUCCCUGUUAUAAACUUUAUACUUAAGGGAGAGAAGGAAAAUAGGAAGGGGAGGAACUGUCACUAAAAAUGGCAAAUGAUCAAGUUUUGCAUGUGUAACAAGACUAUUGGCAAGCAUUAAUUAUAAAAGACCAAGGCUAAUCUACCAGACAUAUAAGGUAACUUAGGAAUGCAUAUUAGCAGAUCAUAUCCAACUGCCAAUAUGUUCUGACAAAUAAACCAUAGAAAGUAGAAUGCAUUAAAAAAACCUGUCAAUCCUGAAGAACAAUCAAAUUUUUUUCUGUUUGGUAAAAACUGUAAGUUCUCACACUGUGUGUCCAGCAGCUUCCACAGUGAAUGGGGCACGUAAAUAUCCACCUGAACAUAACCAGUGACUCAGCACAAGAAUUCACAAGUGUGAGAAACAAACCAAGCACCACAUGUGCCUCUCACUGUACACUAAAAUAAGCAUCACUAAACAGUCUGGGUGGUCUGGAAAUCUGGACACAAAGAAACUUCUGUAUCAUCCCUCUGUUGAAAAAUAGAGGGGUUCCUUUAACUAGUGACAUCUAAAAGCUAUCAUUUCCUUUUCAUGUACUGCUUUCAGGUACUUUAUUAAUUGCUUGAUGUAUUGUCUUCACAAGAGUUCUAUGAGUGGGUAUUAUUUCACCCCUUUUACAAAUAGAGAUUCUGAAACAGGGCUUGAGAAUUUGCUUAAGUCAUAAAGAUAGUAAGGGAAAAGGGACAGGCCAAGACUCAAUAUUGGUUGUAGUAGGAAAGAAAUAGACAAUGUCCAAAAGAAGUAUUUACACACAAACACACACAUACACACUCCUCCAUUAAGAAGGAAGAACACUGGAAAAAUUAUGAAAAGCAUCACUUUCAUACUCUAGAAAUUAACAAAACAUUACAAUAAUUCCAGGACCACUCAUUCAAGACAAAUGGCUGAAUAUCAGCAAAACCAGUGUUCUUUGUGGUAUGUGACUUGUCCCAACAAAUGGAUCCUCCAUAAGAUUAAUAUUUGACAAUAAGAAAACAGAAAAUUUCAACACUAUAAACCAACUAGAAAUAAGACAUCUACUCAAGAGCAUCAGAAUACACAUUCUUUUCAGUUAUACAUGGAACGUUCUCUAGGAUAGACCCUAUGCUAGUCCAUAAAAUAAGACUCAAGAAAUUUCAAAAGAUUGAAAUCAUAUAAAAUACCUUUCCUGCCAACAGUAUAAUUAUAAGUUAAUAACAAAGGAAAUUGCGGAAUUCACAAAUAUUGGAAGUUAUCACACUUAAAGAUAACCAAUAGGUCAAAGAAGAUAUCACAAGGAAAAUUAGAUAAUAUUUUGCUAUGAAUAAAAACAAAAAUACAUUAAAACUUAUGGCAUCUGAAAUCCCUUUCAUGAAGACGGUCCCAAAGGCAAAUAAGGAAGUCCCUGCCCCACCCAAAGCCAGAGCAAAGGCUUUGAAGGCCAACAAAGCAGUGCUAAAAGGAGCCCACAGUCACACGCCAAAAAAGAUCCAUGCAUCAUCUACCUGCCUAUAGUCCAAGACACUGCAUCCCUGAAGGCAGCCCAAAUAUCCUCAAAAGAGCACCCCCAGGAGAAACAAGCUUGACCAUUCUGCUAUCAUCAAGAUCCCCCUGACUCCCAAGUUAGUUGUGAAGAAAACAAAAGACAAUACACGUGUGUUCAUUGUGGAUGUCAUGGCCAACAAGCACCAAUGAGACUGUGAAGAAGCUCUAUGACAUUGACAGAAGAUGGCAGUGUAGGAGGAUGCUGGGCUCACCUUGUCCUGCUGAUCACUUAGAUUCCACCCACAUCAGCCUAAAUAACCCACAAAACUGCCGGAAGACUAGCAGAACGGACACUCCAGAGCCAAGCAUAGAUAAGAGACUCACGGAAGAGGGUAAGAAGGGUGGAGAGCUGGUGUGUGUUACAUGGACUGGUGGGAGGCAGCUGGGAAGUGGAGGGGCAGUCCACCAGGCAAGGCAGAGCCCCUGAAGUCUGGCUUGCAAAAGCGGAGGGACCGGACUGCAUGAGUUCUGACAGCCAGCAGGAGUUAACAUCUGGAAUGUUAAAAGUCAACAGCUCUGCUCUCAGAGAGCAGGGAGGGUGAGAGGAGGGUGAGAGGACGCCAGGAGGGAGAGUUCUUGAGCCCCGGAAAGACGGAGCUUGGGGGGCAGGAGGAGGCGAAAGGCACUGGCAAGCACCAUUUACCUCUCCCAUUCCCCAGCCAAAAUUCCAAAGGGAACCAGUUGCCAAAACUGAGCUUGCUUGCACCACACAAGUGCCCAAUGCUGUGCUUCUGGGGAUCAAUCCCUCCAGCCUGCCUCCCUCCUGGUGCUGCAGGGCUCCUCCUGUGGGGGACCACUGAUAGCAAAGCUAGGUAAGCCUGCCCCUCCUGCCCAUGUGCAUCUUGCAGAUCCACCCGGGCUAAUACGCCCUUGGCCAGAUCCCAUCAAAGCAGACCAUAAACCUGGCAGUGUGCAAGCAGCCCACACAGGGGCCACACCACUCCACAGUGAGUCCUGCCCCUGGGAGGGGGCAGAUAAGGUACACACCACUCUCACUGUGGCCCCAGCAGUGGGCUGGGAACAGACAUCGGGUCUGACUGCAGCCCCGCCCACCACCACCACAAGUUUCUCCGGACAGCACAGGGGAAUUGCCCUGCAGUUUGGAGCCACCACAGGGACUACCCCAAAUGAUGAAACAGGAGAAUUCUCUUCAAAAAAACUCCAGGAAGUAGCGACAGCUAACAAAUUGAUCAAAACCGAUUUAAGCAAUAUAAUGGAACAAGAAUUUAGAAUAAUAGUCAUAAAAUUAAUCUCUUGCCUUGAAAAAAGCAUAGAGGACAGCAGAGAAUCUAUUGCUACAGAGAUCAAGAGACUAAAAAAUAGUCAUGAGGAAUUAAAAAAUGCUAUAAAUGAGGUGCAAAAUAAAAUGGAGGUGGCCAUAGCAUGGAUUGCAGAGGCAGAGGAGAGAAUAGGUGAAUUAGAAGUUAAAAUUAUGGAAAAAGAGGAAGCUGAGAAAAAGAGAGAUAAAAAAAUCCAGGAGUAUGAGGGGAGAAUUAGAGAAAUAAGUGAAACAAUCAAACAGAACAAUAUCCUUACCAUAGGAAUUCCAGAAGAAGAAGAGAGAGAGAAAGGGGCUGAAGGUGUACUUGAACAAAUCAUAGCUGAGAACUUCCCUUAUCUGGGAAAGGAAACAGGCACUGAAAUCCAAGAGGCACAGAGAACUCCCUUCAUACGUAACUUGAAUCGGUCUUCUGCACGACAUAUCAUAGUGAAACUGGCAAAAUACAAGGAUGAAGAGAGAAUUCUGAAAGCAGCUAGGGAUAAACAGGACCUAACUUACAAAGGUAGACACAUAAGGGUAGUAGCAGACCUAUCUACUGGCUCUGGCAGGGCAGAAAGGAAUGGCAAGAAAUCUUCAAUGUGAUGAACAGAAAAAAUAUGCAGCCAAGAACCCUUUAUCCAGCAAGUCUGUCAUUCAGAAUAGAAGGAGAGNCUCUGGAAAACAGUGUGGAGGUUCCUCAAAAAAUUAAAAAUAGAUCUACCCUAUGACCCAGCAAUAGCACUGCUAGGAAUUUACCCAAGGGAUACAGGAGUGCUGAUGCAUAGGGGCACUUGUACCCCAAUGUUUAUAGCAGCACUUUCAACAAUAGCCAAAUUAUGGAAAGAACCUAAGUGUUCAUCAACUGACAAAUGGAUAAAGAAGUUGUAGUUUAUAUCUACAAUGGAAUACUACUUGGCCAUAAGAAAGAAUGAAAUAUGGCCUUUUGUAGCAACGUGGAUGGAACUGGAGAGUGUUAUGCUAAGUGAAAUAAGUCAUACAGAGAAAGACAGAUACUGUAUGUUUUCACUCUUAUGUGGAUCCUGAGAAACUUAACAGAAGACCGUGGGGGAGGGGAAGGGGAAAAAAAUGUUACAGAGAGGGAAGGAGGCAAACCAUAAGAGACUCUUAAAAACUGAGAAUAAACUGAGGGUUGAUGGGUGGUGGGAGGAAGGGGAAAGUGGGUGAUGGGCAUUGAGGAGGGCACCUGUUGGGAUGAGCACUGGGUGUUAUAUGGAAACCAAUUUGACAAUAAAUUUCAUAUUAAAAAAAAUAACAAAGAAGCUCUAUAACAUUGUCAAGGACAAAGUCAACACCCUAAUCAGGCCCAAUGUUGAGAAGGCACAUGUUUCACUGGCUCCUCACCAUGAUGCAUCAGAUCUUGCCAACAAAAUCAGGAUCAUCUAAACUGUGUCCAGCUAGCUAAAUCUAAAUACAAAAUUUUUCACCACAAAACAACAACAGUAAUAAAACAUGUUUUUGGGGUUUUUUUUUUUUUACAUCAACUGAAGUAUCUCCUGAAGGGAAAUUAUAGCUAUAAAUCUCUGCCUUAAAAGAGAGAAAAUAUCUCAAAUUGUUAACUUAAACUUCUAUCUUAAGAACUAAAAAAGAAAAGCAAGCUAAACCUUUAUCAAACAAAACAAAUAAUAAAGAUCAGAGUGCAAACACAGGAAAUAGAGGUAGAAAAAUAAUGAAGAGAUUCAAUGAAGACAAAAGUUUGGCUUUUUCUUUAAAAGAUCACCAAAAUUAGUAAGGUUUCAGAUUGACCAAGAAAUUUUUUCAAAGGGAAAGAACGAGAGAGAAAGAGGGGGUGGGGGAAGGAUGGAGGCAGGGAGGAGAUCAAUUUAUUAAAUUAGAAACGAAAGAGAGGGCAUCAUCACCAAUCUCAAAGAUUUAAAAACUAUAAUAAAAUAACAUGAAAAAAUAUAUGCCAACAAAUUCGAUAAUCUAUAUCAAAUGUACAAAUUUCUAGAAACACAAAAAUUACCCAGAUUCAGAAAUACAUAGAAAAAUGAAUAGACCUAUAGCAUUUAAAGAAAUUAAAUAAUUGUAAAUAUGGCAGGCAGAAUUAUUGUCCCUCCAAAAUUCGCAUGUCUUAAACCCUGCAGCCUGUAAAUAUGUUGUCUUACAUGGAAAAAAGAGACUCUGCAUGUAUGAUUAAGUUAAGGAACUUGAGAUGGGAAGAUUAUCUCACCAAUCAGUAGUUCUAAUCUAGUUAUGUAGGUCCUUAUAUGCGAAGAACCAUUUCUGACUGGAGUUAGACCAAGAUAUGAAAAAUGGAAAAAUGAUCAGAGAGGUACAAUUUUGCUUGUUUUGAAGAUGGAUGAAGAGGGCCACGAGCCAAGGAACGCAGGUGCCCUCUAGAAAUGGGAAAAGACUAGGAAAUUAAUUCUGAAUUCCCAGAACCUCCAGUGUGGUAGAGGGGAAGCAGCACUGCCAACACCUUGGUUGUAGCUCUGCAAAACCUGUGCUGGAUUUCUAAUAUACUGUAAGAUAUUCUGUAGACUGUAAGUCUAUUUCUAAUAGACUGUAAGAUAACAAAGUUGUGAUUUUGUAGCCACUAAAUAUGUGAUCACAGCAGCAAAAGAACAGUAAAAGAGAAACUUCCCACAAUAAAAUCCAACAUCCAGAUGGCUUCACAAGUGGAUUCUAUCAAAAAUUUAGAAAACAAUUAAUACCGGUCCUACCUAAGUCUUCCAAAAAUUAGAAAAGGUUAACAUUUCCUAACUUAUUUUGUAGUUAGUGUUACAAUGAUAUCAGAACUAGACAAAGUGGUCAUAGGGAAACUACAGACCAAUAUUCCUUACGAAUAUAAAUGCAAAAAGGCUCAACAAAAUAAUAGCAAACUCAAUCCAGCAACAUAUUAAAAAGAUUAUUUACCAUGACCAAUGUUUUUCCUGGAAUGUAAGAUUGGUUUAAUAUGUGACUAUCAGUGUAAUCACCAAAUUAAUAGAAUAAAGGACAAUAUAGCAGAAAAAGCAUUUGACAAAAUCUAACACCCUUUUAUUGUAAAACGCUUAAAAACAUGUGAGAGUAAAAGAAAUUCCUCACCCUAAUUAUUAUCUAUGAAAAAUCGAUAGCUAACAUUAUAUUUAACGGUGAAAAGGUGAGUUAUUUCUUUUUACAGUUAGGAAGAAGGCAACAUAUCCACUCUCACCUGGAGGUUCCAGACACAGCAGUUAGGCAAAAGAGAAAUAAAAGGUAUUCAGAUUCAAGCGUAGGAAGAAAAACUAUCUGUAUUCACAGAUGACAUGAUGUUGUUCAUAGAAAAUCUUGAAGAAUGGGGGCACUGGGGUGGCUUAGUCAGUUGAGCGCCAACUCUUGAUUUCAGCUCAGUCAUGAUCCCAGGCUCCUGGAAUCCAGGCCCAUGUCAAGCUCUGCAUUGGCGUGGAGAGUAUGUAAGAUUCUCUCUCUCUCCCUCUGUCCCUCUCUCCAUUCACGAUCUCUCUCUAAAGUAAAUAAGAAGAAAAGAAGAAGAAGAGGAAGAAGGAGGAAGGAAGGAACGAAUAAAGGAACGAAGGAAAGAAGGAAAGAAGAUAUUUGUAUCUUGAAGAACAAAAAAAUUAAAAAUAUUCCCAGAAUUAAUUAAUGAAUUUAGCAAAGUUGCAGGAUAUGAGAUUCAUAUACAAUAAUCUAUUUCUGUGCUCUAACAAUGAAUAAGAAAUGCAGUUAAGAAAACAAUUCCAUUCACAUGAGCAGCAAAACAAUACUUAAAAUUAAAUUUAAUUAAAGAUGUAUAAGAUGUAUUACCAAUAAGUAAUUAAAUGUAAUUAAAUAAAUAUGUAAUUAAAUAGGACCUAAAUACGUUGAAAACCACUCUAUGUUCAGACGGAUUGGAAGACUUAAUAUUGUUAAGAUGGAAUAUAUUUUUCAUUUUACACAAUUCCAUUCAAAUCAAGUUGAUAACAGAAGAAAUUGCUUUUUUUUUUUUAUUUAACAAAAAUACCUUCCAAAAUUGACUCUGGUAAAGACAAAAAGUUUGAACUGAACAAAGACAACAGAAAAAACAGAAAGUAGUGAAAAAGCUCCCCCAGGUAAAUGCAUCAGGCUCAAGUGGCUUUAUAGUAGCUUAUUGUUAAGAAAUGCUUUUAUGUCAGAUGCUAAUUAUUCUAGAUCAUAGAAAAAGUAUUUAAAUUUCCUUUUUGUGAUGAAUGUAACAUAAUUCUCAAACUCUGACAAUGAAACGUAUAGCAAUGCUUACUGUACCAAUAUUAUACAUGCACACAUGUGCACACACCCACACACCUUAUCGUGACUUCUAGCAUCUUAAUGAAAAAGUCUGAAGUCAGGAAAAAAGAAAGGCUGCCCAAUAUCUCCGCUAAUCUUAAACAUUGUGUUACAGGUAUCCACAAGUGCAAUUAGAGAAAAGAAAGGAUGAGAGACUUUACAAUUGCAAUGCAGAAAGCAAAAUAAUAAUAUUUUGCAACAAUAAGAUACUUCAACCCUACAGUUGUAUACUUUCAUUUUACUACAAAUAGUUGGAUCAAUUAACAUGGCAAGCUAUAAAUCAAUAUGCAAAACUCAAAAAGCUUCAUACAUAUAAAAAACAUUAGAAGAUAUCACAGGGGACUCCUUUAUAAUAGUGAAAUAAGUGAAUAAAUUGGUACCUCAUUUUCCGAGGUAGUAAGAAAACAUCAUCAAGAUACUAUUAUGGGCUGAAGUGUGUCCCCUAAAAAGUCCUAACACUUGGAACCUGUGAAUGAAUGUGACCUGAUUUGGAAAUAGAGUCUCUGGAGAUGCAGUGUUUAGGGAGGGUUUCUAAUCCAAUGACUGGAGUCUGGAGAGACAGGGACACACAGAAAGACAGCCAAACGAUGACAGGUAGAGAUUGGAGUGAUGAGUCUACAAAACCAAGGAAUAUGAAGGAUUGCAAAGUUUCUGGCAAACACCAAAAACUAGUUAGAGACAAGGAAGGAUCUUCCCAUAGAGACUUUAAAGCAAAUAUAGACCUACCUACACCUUGAUUUUUGGAUUUCCACUUCCAGAACUAUGACAUAAUAAGUAAGUCAUCCAUCUAUGGAACUUUGGUAUGACAAUCUUUGGAAGUUAAGAAAGAUACUAGUAUUUCCUGUUAAUGUAAAAAUUAAUGUGAUUCAUAGUUUUUUUGAAAGAAAAAUUUUUAAAAAGAAAGAAAAAUAAGCUAGGAUAGCCUGAAACCCUUCAAAAAACUAAAAAAUGAUGGCAGGGUAGCUUUAUCAAACAUUAAACGAAAUUCUCGAUAAUUAAAACACUGUGUACUGGUACUCGAAUAUAAGAAAGGAACCAUAGAACAGAAUAGAAAAUGCCAGAAAUAAACCCAAUUGCAUAUGAAAAUUUCACAUGUGAUAAGGGUGGUUUCUUUAAUUAUCAAGGAAAAGACUUUUUUUUAAUAAAUGGAUUGUAAAUAACCAAAAAGAAAACGCUGGAUCUAUUUCUCAUCUCAUACCCCAGGAUACAUUCCAAAUGAUUCAUAUAUUUAACCUUAAAAUAAAUAACCAUACAAAUACUAAAAGAAUAUGUAAAUGAAUUUCUCUACAAACUUGAAUGGCAAAAUUCUCUUAAUUCUAUUUCUUUAAUAUCUAGAAGCAAUAAGGGAAAUAAAAGUUAAAUUUAACUACAUAAAAAUAAAAAAAAAUGUUUACUUGUCAAAAAAAUCCCGUGAGCAAAGUAUAUAUAUAUAACAAAUUAAUGGGAAAUAUUGCACCUUAAAUUAUAGAAAAAAAAUUAACACUUCUAAUUACAUAAAGAACUAGAAAAAAAAUCGGUAAGAAUCAAUAACCUGGUAUAAAAAUGAUCGAGAUAUAAAAUAUAUAGCUUUCAAUAAAAUAAAAUGUCAAUAGCUCUUAAUCAUAUUAAAAGAUGAUCAACCUUGCUCACUAUAAGAGAAAUGUAUAAAAUUGCCAUGAAAUAUAAACUGUUAGAUAUUCAAACACCCAAAAAUUUGACAGCAUGCAGUAUGGCUGAGGAGUAAGAGGCAUUCUCAAAGAUCACCAGUGACAAUCUAAAAUUGUGCAACCUCCCAUUCAUACUUCCAGACUCAUCUUCCUUUACCCUCCUUGCUGAACCCUGAGGAUAAUUUAGGGAAUAAAUGCCUAUUACGUGCUUCUACUUAAACUCCUUCCAAUGUUUUAAUGUACUCAUAAUGUCUUGUUAAUAUGUACAUCCACAAGAUAGUUCCUGUCUACGAGUGCAUUUUAUACCCCAUUUUGUGUUAAUAUACAGGGAGUUUAUCUAUUCUUUCCCACUAUAUGAGACCCAGAAUCAUUAUCUUGAUACGUCUUAGUGGUUACUCUAAAAAUACACAUUUAACUUGGCUCACAGAUUAUUUAAAAAGUAUAAACUCCUAUUCCAACCUUUACCUUCUGCCUUAGACAUUUGAACAAAUUAUAAAAGAAUAAGAAGGGAGAAUAUGAUUUGAAUUCUCAAACCAAUGGUCUACGGCAGCCAUUAGUAUUGGUACAAAUGUAACAAAAAUUUUUCAUGGACCUGUUGAACAGAAAUCACAAAUAAAUGUGUUCUUGCCUUUGUCAUAAGCCAGUUUUGCAGGAUUUCAAUAUCUUAACUGGCAUCACUUUCCUGCUCUCAAUGAAGUGCUGAGAAUUUGGUAUUUCCCCCAACUUCCUCCCUCAUUCUACUAAAUCCAUGUAAAGCCUCCAUUCAAUCCUUCCAUCUGGUAGGAUGGUCUGAGCUAAAAUAUUUUUUAAUUUUUUUAAUGUUUUAUUUAUUUUUGAGAGAGAGCGAGGACACACGGGGGAGGGGCAGAGAAAGAGGGACACAGAAUCCAAAGCAGGCUCCAGGCUCUAUGCUGUCAGCAAGAGCCUGAUGCAGGGCUUGAACCCACGAAACAAGAGAUCAUGACCUGAGUCAAAGUUGAAUGCUUAACCAACUAAGCUACCCAGGCACCCCUGAGCUAAAAUCUUUUCUGAGAUCUUUAGAAAAAACAAAUAAACAAACAAACAUGCUACUCUCCCAAAAAAGUUGACCAAUUCAGGAGCUAUAUUACAUUUUUAUUUGAGAAAAUUUUUCUUUGAUGUGCUCACAGAAUCUAAUACUGUGCCAGUACGCAGUGUUCACUCAAAAAUACAAAUAUUGGGGUGCCUGGGUGGCUCAGUCAAUUGAGCGUCUGACUUUGGCUCAGGUCAUGAUCUUUGAGUUCGUGAGUUUGAACCCUGCAUCGGGUUGCUGCUGUCAGCACAGAGCCCACUUCGGAUCCUGUGUUCCCCUGUUUCUCUGCCCCUCCCUUGCUAGUGCUCUCUCUCAAAAAUAAACAAACAUUUAAAAAAAUACAAAUGGCAUACAAAUUACUCAAUGGGAUAAAUCUAAAGUAUGUGGUAUUUCAGUAUUGCUAUGAUCUCAAAUGUGUUCUGUGUUGAGGUGGCCAGAGGCCAUCACUGAUACAGAGGGGGAAACAUCAGUUUAAAAAUGAAGUAUUUACAUUUUAAUGUGUUCCUGACAUUAAAUUUAAGAGAAAUCACAAAUGGAUUCAGGAUUUUUCUUUAAUCAAUUUUAAAAAAUAACAUUUCAUCCCUUUCCACAUAGACAUACACACACACGAUAUAGGCUAAUAAGCUCAUGUAUAUAAACAACUCUAGCAGGAAGUAAAGCAAAUCACGUUCCACUGAAGAAUAUCCCCACUAAUUACUAUUUGAAGGGACUUCUGUAUAAAAGCUAGAUUUCUAGUAUGAGUCAAUUUUGUCUGUAAGGACUCUGUAUUUUAUUUUUACAGUGUUGUUGAAUGUCUACUCAAUUUAUUGUAUUAAGAUCUCAGUCACAAAGGAAAGAAAUUAAUAUAGUAGCAUAUGGGAAACUUUGGGUCCAAGCAUCUUGAAAGUCAAGAAUUUGGUUAUUCUUCAGGAUUUGGCAUUAAAAGGUAUUCUCCACUCCCCUGAACAUGGAAAACAAUUUUUUAUUGGCUUGAAACAGUGUGGCUGAAAUAUGUCACCAACUAGCCUUACUGCACAACAAUUUUCUACAUACACACUCUUCCACACCAUUACUUUUUUAUCUGCCCAACUUAUCAAUGUAAAGAAAUUUCCUAAUUCAAAUAUAACAAUUGUUAUCACUGUCAUAAUCGUUAUUUCCUCAUGACACUUCACAUUGUUCCAGUUUAAUUUUCUUAUUGGAAAGAUGAACACUCACAAUUGCAUCAUUAAUAAACACUAGUACAUCUGCAGCAUCCCAUACUGUGUGGUUUUGGCAAACUCUGGUUUCCUAAGGCCACUCUGGUCAUAGGCAGAUUUUGCCCUCAGCUCACUCAACACUCUGUCAGUGCCCUUGCCUUUGUCUCAUAAUUCUAGCACAUAAAAUGCAAUUAUAGAUAAAAUCCCUCUUGAGACUAGUUUUUCAUUGUCUCUUCAAAGUACAUUUUCUUCACGCAUUAAAUCAUAUCCCAGGACAUCCCACAACACUAGCAGCAGCCUAGAUUCUUUCUCGCUUUGUGUCUAAGGGGCUAAUUUAUAUUCUCACUCUAAACGCCUCUAAGUUCCAGUCAAUUCUCUGGAUAUAUUUGUGGUUCAGAUCACAUGUUUUUUUAAACAGGGUUCUUUAUAUGUUAAUAGGUAAUCAAUAGAAAUAAUUUAUUUAAAGUAAAAAUUUGAAUGAACUAGAUUAUUUGGAAACUAAAUUAUAGAUUAUUUUUGAAUCAUAAAGUUUCAACAUUUAAAAACCUAUUUUCCCCCUCUCUAAAUGUAUUAUUGCUGCCAUCAAUUCUGUGGCUUUUGGCUAUAAUGUUAUGUUGAUUUUCAUCUAAUCUCUGUAAUAACUAUUUUAUCUUUCUUGUUAUAAGCCAUCUGGCCUGUGGGUUUUUUGUUAUCACUCCAUAGUAUGAGCUUUACUCAGUAUACCCCGAUGAUAUUUUACUUUGUUUUUAGUGCAUUUGUUUUCCACUCAGGAAAAUAAUUAUUUUAACAGGAACAAGUGGGGGCAUCUGGAUGGCACAGUCAACUAAGUGUCCAACUCUUGGUUUCAGCUCAGGUCAUGAUCUCACGGUUUUGUGGGUUCCAGCUCCACAUCAGACUCUGUACUGGUGGUGUGGGGCCUGCUUGGGAUUCUCUCUCCCUACCCUUCUCCUGCUCAUGCUGUCUCUGUCUCUCUCAAAAUAAAUAAACUUAAAAAAUAAAAAUUAAAUAAAAAAUUUUUUAAAAAGGAACAAGUGGAUCAAGAAUUUUAAUCUUUAUCUUUUACAUUAAAAUUGUCUUUUAAUCUUCUGCAGGUAAAAGAAUUCUGUUAGAAAUUUCAAAAAAUCCAGUCAGCUUUACUUUCUAAAUGAUAUUACACUUUUAAAAGCUUUUUAAAAAACUUUCACCCUUUAUCUUCCAUCCUCCUUUUCUCCCUCCUUCCUUUCCUUACUUCCUUCUUUCUGCCAAUAAUGAUUCAUCAAACACAUGUUUUGUGCCAAUAUCACAGCAAAUGAUGGUAUAGCUAGGACUAACACAAGCACCUUCACUGAUCUUACAAACUAUUGUGAUCGUAGGGAUCUAAUUUUGGCAUGCCUUUAAUUAUUUCUUAUAAACCCAGAACAUUUUUUUUUUUUUUUUUUUUUUUUUUUUUUUGGGACAGAGAGAGACAGAGCAUGAACGGGGGAGGGGCAGAGAGAGAGGGAGACACAGAAUCGGAAACAGGCUCCAGGCUCUGAGCCAUCAGCCCAGAGCCUGACGCGGGGCUCGAAAUCACGGACCGCGAGAUCGUGACCUGGCUGAAGCCGGACGCUUAACCGACUGCGCCACCCAGGCGCCCCAAACCCAGAACAUUUUUAAAGUAAAGCUCACUGUAUGAUAACAGAUCAGAUCAUGUUGGAAUCCUAGUCCUUACAUGCACCUGAUAUUUAGGAUCUGUGUUACCUAGGGGGAAAACCACAUAUAUUGAUGGGCUUUUCCCUUCUGAUAAAGGUGGAUAUCUGAGCAAUGAUCAUGAGAGCAAAUCUGGGUAAAUAAGUUAAGAAUGCCCAAAGGUAUUAUACUUGCUGCAUCAAUACUUCCUAAAAAAGAAAUUCAUCUGGGCCCUAGAGGCCUAUGAGAUUCAGGUUCACCACCUACAGUGGUCAUACGGUGAGUGGAGUGCACAAAGCUCUCCUCUCUGCCUACAGAAGGAGGCAUAUUUUCUUUCACACAAAAAUGACAUCUGAUGACUCGGCCUUGCUCUUAAGAGCCUAUAUCUUCUAAGAGGGGGACUCCUUUUCCUUAUUGGUGACCAUGAUUAUACCACUGAUAGUUUAUCUUCCUUCUUCCAAGCUGCAAAUCAUUUUUAAAUGGCAUCUUCUGGCUUUCGUUACAACAGUGGAAAUGGAAUGACUAUAUGCUUCCCAUCUCUCUGAAAAGCUGGGAAGCCCAAAAUAUUGUGGAUUGUUUUGGCAGCGCAAGCAGCCAGCUGUUGACUGGAGUUCCACAGAACCAGCCAGGGAUGUCAGUGGCUGACUCUGGCAUCUGUGUUAUGAAUGAUAUCUUGGGAUAAAAUCCCACCCCCUGUAGUUUCUUGGCAGCUUAAGAAUCUCAGACUGAGAUGAAAACAUGGCUUUCAAUGCCUCAGUGAGUUGCUGGAAUAUUUCGGAACUGCUUGAGCCAGUAUGAGAUUUGUGCACAUCUCUGAUUUUCAAUCCAGCUUUGAACUGAUAUUCAACACCCGAGAAGUAGAAUCUUAAAAUGAAAAACAUCUUUAAUUGGUUCAAAGGUCCCAAGUUCCAUUACCUCUGAAGAAAGAAUCUUAUAGAGGUUUUUCUGAUCUUUCAUCUGCCCACAAUUGCCUUUCCUAAUCAAAAGUAGCAAGGUAAGAAUCUUUCUCUUUUACUAUAUGAAAUAUAGUACUAAUCUUCGAAGGCAAACAGAAGGAAAUUAUCCUUUUAACUAGCAAUAGCUGUUUCAAUUUCAAAAAUUAUACAAAAAUAUGUGUCCUUAGUCUGUUUACAGCAUUUUAAUCAUUUCCCGUAGCAGCUUGGAUAUUUUAUUACAGGGUUGUUUUUGCUUUUUUAAGUGGAGACGUAGACUCAGAUGCUCAGUUUAGAAGAUGAGGAAAACAGUGACUGCUAUUAGGAUGGGUCUGGAAAUGGGGCGGGAGAUGAAUAGGUGAAUUAAGCCACCAUAUGCCCAGUGAAUUAAGUAAAGUCCUAGAACAUUAGAAAAUACUUAUCUGAUUUAAAUAGGAAAUGCUUUGUCUAAAAAUACAAAGAAAUGAAAAUAGAAAUUAAAUCAUACAUUGCUGACUUGUUACAGACAGCCAAAAUGUUUUAUAACUUUGGCAUAAAAACAUCAUACCAAGAAAAGCAAUGAAUUUUAUAAUUACUUUUGGAAAUUCCUUCUAACAUCAAAGCCUUAUGAGAAAACCUCACAUGGCCAUUUUAUNUAUAUAUAUAACAUAUACAUUUAUGUGUACAUACAUAUAUUUAUGUAAUAUAUGUUUGAUUACUAGUUAAAUACAAUAUACUUCAUUGCUAACAUACCAACUCCUCAGAAGAAAUAGACACUAUGUUUGGAAAAACCAUGGUAAAAGGUAGAAUACCUUCUGCAAUAUUCUGCAUUUGUAGUUAAAACUAUAAAUCUGAAGAAAAAUAUAGUUAAAAGGAUGAUUUUAUUUAUUAUUUAUUUACUUAUUUAUUUUUGGUUUGGGAAACUCUGUCGGUCUUCUCUCAAAUGACAAUCUUAUGGGGAAAACAACAUUUAAAGAUUUAAAAAUAUUUGUUAUAUAAUUCUGUGAGAUUAUGUGCAAAUAAUUACAUAGCCAUAUGGUGAUGGCUUAAGAAAUUACAUUUUGUGUAUAAAGCCUGAGAUUCAAUUUUUUCUUGGUUUGAUUUCAAUUAUUACAUUAUAUAAAUUUUUAAAUAAUUUAUUGAGCCCUUACUAUACUAGGCAUUGUGCUAAGGAAUUUAUAAUAUUGCCUUACUUCAUCCUCACAACAAUCCUGUCAGAUACUAUGAUUAUCCUUACUUGACAGAUGGUAAAAUAAUCUUUAAAAAAUUAUGUAACAAGCCCAAAGCCAUUCAGCUAAUUGUUUCACACCUUAUUAACUCUUAACACCACUCUAUUAAAAAUGAUCAUUCACAUCUUCCUCAUAAUUUCCACUCAUUCUCAAACUUUUCUGUUAAAAAGUGAACAAAUAUCACUGAGGUUUUUGCAUAAGAGACAGCCACGUCCACUUCAAGGCCUACUUUUUUUUUUUUUUUUUAAUGUUUAUUCAUUCUUGAGAGAGACAGAGCACGAGCAGCAGAGGGACAGAGAGAGAAGGAGACACAGAAUUUGAAGCAGGCUCCAGGCUCUGAGCUGUCAGCACAGAGUCUGACACGGGGCUCAAACCCAUCAACCGUGAGAUCGUGACUGAAGCCGAAGUCAGAUGCUUAACCAACUGAGCCACCCAGGUGCCUCCUUCAGGGCUUACUCUUAUGACUGAUGACCAUUCUGUAGAAGAGCAUUACAAUAAGUUAUCAUGCUUUUUCCAUUUAUUUAGGAAUAAGAUGUAUAGGACUUACAUACAUCUGCUCCAUAGAUGGAGAAUGACUGCAAACAUCCUAGUACACAUUUGUCUAAUGAUCCAUACUGUUAAGUGGGCAGUCAGGGCUGCAUGGCCACAGUGGCCAGAUGAGGAAAGGAGGAUGGACACAGAGGGCCCCAUCCUGAGAUCACGUCCUUUCAAUUGGUCUAUCUAGUCAACUCAAAUCAACUCUCCUAUAUCAUCCUCUAACCAAACUCAAUCUGGUGCAAUACAAAUUCCCUCUGACCAGCCAUUCUUUACUUAGAAUAGAACUGAUAGAGGAAAAAUUCAUAACCCCAGCAAACAGUGGCUUAAGUGGAAGCCUUAUAAGGGUAAAAUAAUCAAAAAUACUAACCUAAAAAUAUCAAAUAAUAAAGUUUAAAGUUUUACUUUUAUAUGACACUUAAAUAAUUUAUAUAUAUAUGUCUAUAUACAUAUAUAUGUCUAUAUGUUAUAUGCAUAUAUAUGUUAUGUAUAUAUUAUAGACAUAUAUAUAUGUUAUAUGAGACUUACAACAUGGCAUUAAUAUUGAAUAUAAUUUUAGAACUAGUGUCAAAACAGCCUUAAUUACUCAAGAUGGAUGCUCAAAAACUUAUUAGCCAUUCUUGAAUGUAAAUAAUGUUCAUAUCUAGAGGUGAGCUAGAGGUGUUUACAGUUUAGAAUAAAGUCCAAACCUUUGGGGGCAGGUAUGAAACUAUCCUUUUCUUUAUCAAUUUUAUGUAUAUUCAAUGUUUACAUGAAUCAGUUUUUAUAUAAUAUUUUCUCUCCCAGAUUAAAGAUUAUGUCAUAUUUGAUAGUUUUCAUUAAUCUGCCUCAAAUUUCAUUAGGACUGCAGCAUUCUAAUAAAGAUGCAUAUCCCAUUGCCUCUGCUGACAAUUUAAGAAAAUGUCAUUUCAUUUUUGCACAUAAAAUAGGGAAAAGUUACUUUCAGAGUCACACAAUACCUUGACCUAGAUAUUAAACCUUCUCAAGUACAUAGGAUAAAAAACAAAGUCAAAAUUUGUCUCUAGGUUUAUUUACAUUAGCUGAUAAGAUUUCAGUAGAACAGGAAAGUCUCGACAAUUUUCAAAACAUACUCCAAAAACCAAACAAAAACAAAAACAAAAAACUUAUCCUAUUCUUUUAAUACAAAACAGAAUUCCAAAGAAAUGUAUACUAUUUAAUCAAAUAAUUAGGUUUGUGUGUUUUUAAAGUGGUUCACCCAGUUUUCCAAUUGGAUUGUUACUGCCAUCCUCACCACAAGUGAAUUUAAACACACUGGAGUGGAAUAUUUAAAAUUAGAGUUAAAUUAUUAGCAAAAAAGUUAAUAGAUGAUUCCGUUGUUUUUCAAAUAAUGGAAGAGUGACUUUCCUUAUAUUCACUAUUAAAAAGGAGAAAAUUCUGAAAAACUGCCCCUCAAAAUGAAAUACUUUAUGUGCUGAGCUCUAAUCACCCAUUUCUCCAGUCUGUCAGUUUUAAAAUAUUGCAGAGCUGACUUCCCAGCUGCCGGCUGGCAGUCCAAUUUAAAGAAGUAGCCGCCUAGAGAACUGUACAAUAGAGCUUAGUUAUCACCAUUCUGCAUAGCAUGAAGUCGGCCGCCACCUCAUGAGCAAACGCAAAGGACACAAUGCAGUGAAAGGGUUAAUUAGGAACCCACACAGAACUCCUUUGGCAUUGUGGUACUAACGUCCCUUUUAACCCUAUUUGUUGUAAUUUUUGUAAUAUGCUGUUUGUGCUUUCAGGUUGCAUCAUAAAUUCAUCUGAGGAUUUUCUGAAUAUAUUCAUAUCCUUAAAUUAGAUGAAUGAUUGGAAAUUUAUUCCCUAAGAAUGGGCUUGAUAGAACAUUUUACUUGCUGGCCUUUCAUCAAAAACACCAUUGAAUUUUCAAAGCAAUUGUUUGAAGCAAUCAGUUAAAUAUCUGGGUUUUAUAUAGCUUCUCACUUUUUGGUUGCUCAAGGGAAGUCUGGCUAUAGUAUCCUACUGCUUUGAAAUGAACAGAAGCAAGGAAAUAUAAAGGUAAUUUAACUUUAAAUAAACUUGUUCAGCAAUGCUCAGCAGACAUAAAUGAAUACAUUUUUUAGAAGCUGUGAAUACUUUAUCACGGCUAUUGUUCUUUUUAAUGUAUUUCAGAGGUAUUGCAGGUACUAUAACUCCAAAUGAUUUCCACUUAAAGUUCUCACCAGAUAUAGUUUGCACUUAAACUGAAAGCUUAAGAAAAGGUCAAGAGGAAUACAAUGAUAACUACACUAAAACACAGAAUAGUAAAGGCCCUUGAUGUGAUGUGAAGUUUAAAAGUAUGCAAACCAUGCAUGCAUGCUAAAAUCAUGUAGGAGAAAACUAGUUGACCAGAAAAGUUUGAGUAUUCAGGGCUAAUUAUCAGAUUUACCUGAUAACCAUGUUUCUUUUAAAAUUUCUGUUCCUGGGAGCCUGGGUGGCUCUGUCAGUUAAAUGUUGGAUUCUUGGUUUCAGCUCAGGUCAUGAUAUAACAGUUCAUGAGUUUGAGCCCCAAAUCAGCCGCCACGCUAACAGCAUGGAGCCUGCUUGGGAUUCUCUCUCUGUCCCUCUGUCUCUGCCCCUCCCCUGUUCAUGCUCUCUCUCCUCUCUCUCUCUCAAAAUAAAAAAAUAAACAUAUAUAUAACAUAUAUAUUAUAUACAUUUAUAUAUAUAAAUGUAUGUAAUAUUUAUAUAUAUAAAUUUCUCUUCUUUCUGGAUGCCCAGCUCUCAGAUCUUUAAUUCCACAUCAGCUUGUCCAACAAAGGUAAAAGAGGAGACCUCUCAAUAUUGCUGCAGCUUUAUCUGAUAGCAUUUAUCAGAUAUUUACUUUCUAAAUAUGCUAAGGAUCAAAAUUAGACUUUUGAGGCAUCUUAGGAUUCUAGUCAAAAUUAGGAAGCACCAUUUGUUCACUGAGGAACAGUAUACAAUGGUGGUUAUUAGGGAUGGAGUACUUAUUUGUUUUGAAUCUUAAUGCUACCGCUUAAUCAUUAUAUGACUUUUAGUAAGACACUUAACUCUACUGUCUAUGCUUCAGGUUAUCAUCAUAAAAAUGGGGCAAUAAUAAAACCUCCCACUUAAGCUGUAUAAGAGGAUUAAAUAAGGAUUCCAUAUAGGUAGUACUCUAUACUCAAUUAUGUCAUGGCAGAGAGAAAAGCCCUUAAAAACCAUUACUUUUAAUUAUAAAACCUUGUUUGGUGCUUACCAUAUAAGAGUGCUGUGCUAGAAGCUGGGGAUACAGUCAUAUGUGAUACAGACCACACUCAAUGAACAGAAACAAAUAAUUAAAAUCAAAUUGAGUUGUGACAAAUCUAAGCUGAGUUUUAUAAAGGUCUUUUAUAUUAUCAAAUGGUGAAAGGAAAGAAUUCCAGGAGAAGAUGCCAUCUGGGCUCAUUUAAUGUUUAUUUAUUUAUUUUGAGAGAGAGAGAGCGCCAGCGAACAUGAGCAGGAGAGGGAAAGAGAGACAAAGAGACAGAGAGAAUCUCAAACAGGUUCUGCGCUGUCAGCGCAAAGCCCCACAUGGAGCUUGAAGCUGCCAACCAUGAGAUCAUGACCUGAGCUGAAGUCCGACUCUUAACCUAAGUCACCCAAGUGUCCCUAGACUUAUUUCAAAACAUAAGUAAUUUCUGAAAAGUUUUAAAUUAUUUUUAAUUAAUUGGAUCUUUUACUCCUACUGGAAGAUCUGAUCCUAUUUUCCAACCUUUUCUGUCCUCUAAUUUUUCACUCAUCUAAAAUGGCUGAAAGGAUAUAAGACAGAUACAAAGACAAUAAUAAAGAGAAUAGUCACAACAUUGGUCUAGGAUAAUAGCUUGCAUUCCCCCUUGAUAUACCCUCCAUGAUGUCUUAGUGAUGGGCUUUCCUAGGCUUAAAAUAGUUAAAUACAGUAAGUGAUAGAAUUCUAUAAAAGGUGACCUAAUAUAAUUUUUUAACAAAGCUAAAGGGAAAAACUUCCUUUGGAAAAGACAUGCAAUUUCUAUUGUAUGCCAAAAACUUUGAAAGACACAGAAGGCUUCGAAGUAAAGACCCAGGAAAAAUAACUGUCAAGUACAGGAGAAAAGCAUGAAAUCAUAGACUGCCUAAUUCCAAGGGUUCCAAGAAGUAGAACUUUUUUUUUUUUUUUUUUUUUAGGACUCCCUCUAUUUUAUUCAAAUAUACCAGAUAAACCCAGGACUUGUGACUCAGUGCACCUAAAUGUUAAGCUUGAAUAAUUAAAGUUUUUGUUUUUUUUUAAACACUCCAUUUGACCUGAUAGGAGUGAUAUUCAAUUAGUGUAAUGCCUAUAUAUAUAUAUAUAUAUAUAUAUAUAUAAUUUAUUUAUGUUUAUAUUUCUUUAUUUUUAACUCUUUCACUACAUUUAAAGUGCUUAAAGUCCCUAAGCCAAAAAACUGCCAAUCACAAUAACUAAGCAAGUCUUAAUUGCCAUAGUUUGUGCUAAGAUUAAGCAUGGGAAAAUGAAGUACAUCAGGAAAGGACAGAUGAGGACAAAUGAAAAUUAUAUAAAACUUGCCCACCAUGCUAGAGUAAUACUCUCCCUUGAAAAUUUCUUAAGGUUAAUGCUUAGUCAGAGAUUAAUUUAACCAUGUUGUAAAAGAGAGGAGGACAUAGUAUAGAUGGUAACUAUGCCUUGCUAGUUCUGGUUCAGCACAAAACUCCGGCUUUGAACAGUCGCAAAGUUUGACCUGUUGUGUUACAUUUACACGAUCUCUUUUGGAUGGAGAUUUGCCACAGCUUAGUCAAUACCUGAAAAUGGUAACACUACGGUUUCUAAGGCUAAAUCUAUUUUCUCAAUAGAACAUCCAUAAAGCCUGGUAUGACAUUCAUUUUCAUCUUACAAACAGCUCUUCCGAAAUAUAUUUAAAUAGCAUUCUGCUUCAAGACAGUGACUGAGAAACUUCUGGGAUUCUGUGAAUUAUUAUUCCUUACUACGUACAUAAAGUGGUGAGGGAAGGCGAGAUAAAUAUCAAAAGGAAUGUCAUAAGACUUCAAAAUCCAUACGGGAAAGGGGUUAGAGAAACAGAUUAUAUAUAUAUAUAUAUCACAAAAGACCUAAAAGAAAGAGCUUUGAGAAAAGCUUUUUAGGCAU